GCGACUCAUUGUGGACCACAACAUAG
rnacentral:piRNA from 1 species